rnacentral:lncRNA from 1 species
UUUUUUCAUAGUCGAUAGUACUUUUACAUGUCAAAAUUGUCAAUAGACAUGAUACAUAGAUUUGUCCUUGGAUAAUGACAUGGAAAUUAAUAGAAUUAACUUUCAAAAUGAUUUUUUUUUAAUUCCCUUCCCUGAUGAUCUUGUAUGGACAGCCUGUUGGAUCGUUUGGAUCACAAGGUUGAUGGAGUUUAGGGCCUGAAUAGUCAAUGCCGACCUCCAUCUGUAGGCUUUCCUUCAGGAUCUGCCACUUCAACUCCUUUGAUGCCCUUCACAAAUUACCAAGAAUUAGAUUCAAGUUUCAACUGAAAAUACAACAAACGUAAUAGUUAUAAUGAUAAUAAUAACAACAACGAGGGAAAACCUGAGAGAAUUUUUUGUUGGGUAGUUCUUCUUCUUUAUUCGAAACAAAGCUUUGUCCUAAACCUGGUAAAAAAAAAUGAUAAAUUUCAUAUUUUAUCCCAUUAUGCAUGAUAUAAUUGAUGUUAAAAUAGCAAUAGGAAAUAAGGACAAAGUGCAUUGAAAAGUAUAAUUUACCCCUUGACAUCGAAACUGCAGUAGAAGAGAGAAUAUGCAUGUAAAUCAAAAGAAACACGAAAAGCGUAAGAUAAACCUUCAUUGCCACUUGAGAUUGUAGGUCGAUUUCAAUAGAAAUUAAUGUGAAAAUGGAGAAGGUUGAUGGUUUUGAUUUGACAAUGCACAAGAAUUAG